GAUGAACGCUGGCGGCGUGCCUAAUACAUGCAAGUCGAGCGAAUGGAUUAAGAGCUUGCUCUUAUGAAGUUAGCGGCGGACGGAUGAGUAACACGUGGGUAACCUGCCCAUAAGACUGGGAUAACUCCGGGAAACCGGGGCGAAUACCGGAUAACAUUUUGAACCGCAUGGUUCGAAAUUGAAAGGCGGCUUCGGCUGUCACUUAUGGACGGACCCGCGUCGCAUUAGCUAGUUGGUGAGGUAACGGCUCACCAAGGCAACGAUGCGUAGCCGACCUGAGAGGGUGAUCGGCCACACUGGGACUGAGACACGGCCCAGACUCCUACGGGAGGCAGCAGUAGGGAAUCUUCCGCAAUGGACGAAAGUCUGACGGAGCAACGCCGCGUGAGUGAUGAAGGCUUUCGGGUCGUAAAACUCUGUUGUUAGGGAAGAACAAGUGCUAGUUGAAUAAGCUGGCACCUUGACGGUACCUAACCAGAAAGCCACGGCUAACUACGUGCCAGCCGCCGCAGUAA
rnacentral:rRNA from 1 species